rnacentral:tRNA from 1 species
GGGGAUAUAUCUCAGUUGGUAGAGUGCUUGCCUUGCAUGCAGAAGGCCCUGGGUUCGAUCCCCAACAUCCCCU